UUUGACCUUAAGUGGUUUCAGUGUAACCGCGCGUCUUCUCAAAAGGAACUUGUCGUUACCACUUUCCUCCAUCUUUAAUCAAAAUACUAUUCCCAGCGAAACGGGCGUCUCAAGAUCCAUCGGAGGUUUUUUUACUUCCUCCAUCCAACUCACGUACACCGAUGGAAAACGCAUUUCAGAGCUCAUGUGUGAAGCACUACAACUGCAAUUCCGAUAAAAUCAACGACGCCGCAGGUAAACUGUCUCGAGUCUAGUGCCUUUUGAGUCUAUCAGGUGGACCCCUAAUUGUUAAUCGUCUGGAGUUAUUGAACGAUUGGGAGUGUUGCAGUUGCCUCCCCCGCCAGCGAUCAAUCCGAGAAUAGAGGAAGGAGGCCGAAUUCCGUAAAUCCGUAGACUAGACAUGAGACAGAAAAUCGCGCUGGACGAUGUUAUAGGUGGCAUUAGGAUCGCACAGUUGCACUCGAUGACGCCUCUUUGCGAUGACGAGUGGGGGAUAGUAGCUGCAAGUAGCUGAUGGUGGGGCCCGUUGUGUUGCAUGGUGUUGACAUAAUGCAGAAAGUAAUUUUUUUCAAUUGUCUAAUUAAUUAAUGAG